rnacentral:rRNA from 1 species
AGUGGAUGGGGAGCAACCUAGUUGUGCGUGUGUAAAGGUAGUGCCAAGAAAAGCGAUGAUCAUGUUGAAAAUCAAUUCCCGGUACCCGAAACCGACACAGGUGGGCAAGUAGAGAAUACUAAGGGGCGCGAGGUAACUCUCUCCAAGGAACUCGGCAAAAUGACCCCGUAACUUAGGGAGAAGGGGUGCCACCGAGAGGUGGUCGCAGUGAAGAGGCCCAGGCGACUGUUUAGCAAAAACAUAGGUCUCUGCAAACUCGAAAGAGGAGGUAUAGGGGCUGACGCCUGCCCAGUGCCGGAAGGUUAAAGAAGUUGGUCAGUUUUAGGAUGAAGCUAGCGACUGAAGCCCCGGUGAACGGCGGCCGUAACUAUAACGGUCCUAAGGUAGCGAAAUUCCUUGUCGGGUAAGUUCCGACCCGCACGAAAGGCGUAACGAUCUGGGCGCUGUCUCGGAGAGAGGCUCGGCGAAAUAGGAUUGUCUGUGAAGAUACGGACUACCUGCAUUUGGACAGAAAGACCCUAUGAAGCUUUACUAUAGCUUGGAAUUGUGUUCGGGCUUCCUGUGCGCAGGAUAGGUGGGAGGCGUAGAAGGUAUUCUUGUGGGGAUACUGGAGCCAACGGUAAGAUACCACUCUCAGGAGGUUAGAAUUCUAACUUAAUUAAGGACAGUUUCAGGUGGGUAGCUUGACUGGGGCGGUCGCCUCCAAAAAGGUAACGGAGGCGUACAAAGGUUCCCUCAGACUGGUUGGAAAUCAGUCGAAGAGUGCAAAGGCAGAAGGGAGCUUGACUGCGAGAAGUACAGUUCGAGCAGGGUGGAAACACGGUCUUAGUGAUCAACGGAUAAAAGUUACUCUAAGGAUAACAGGCUGAUCUCCCCCAAGAGUUCACAUCGACGGGGAGGUUUGGCACCUCGAUGUCGGCUCAUCGCAACCUGGGGCGGAAGUACGUCCCAAGGGUUGGGCUGUUCGCCCAUUAAAGCGGUACGUGAGCUGGGUUCAGAACGUCGUGAGACAGUUCGGUCCAUAUCCGAUGUAGGCGUGAGAAUAUUGAGAGGAGCCUUCCUUAGUACGAGAGGACCGGGAAGGACGCACCGCUGGUGUACCUGUUAUGAUGCCAAUUGUAAACGCAGGGUAGCCAAGUGCGAAGAGGAUAACCGCUGAAAGCAUCUAAGUGGGAAGCCCACCUCAAGAUGAGUAUUCUGGUGUAAGGUCACGGGAAGACGACCCGUAAAUAGGCACGAGGUGGAAGUGCAGAGAUGUAUGAAGCCGAAGUGUACUAAUAGACCGUCGGCUUGA